rnacentral:rRNA from 1 species
GCACAAGCGGUGGAGCAUGUGGUUUAAUUCGAAGAUACGCGAAAACCUUACCUGGCCUUGAUAUCCUUCAAAUCCUGUAGAGAUACGGGAGUGCUAGCUUGCUAGAAUGAAGUGACAGGUGCUGCACGGCUGUCGUCAGCUCGUGUCGUGAGAUGUUGGGUUAAGUCCCGCAACGAGCGCAACCCUCGUGUUUAGUUGCUAACAGUUCGGCUGAGCACUCUAAACAGACUGCCUUCGUAAGGAGGAGGAAGGUGAGGACGACGUCAAGUCAUCAUGGCCCUUAUGGCCAGGGCUACACACGUGCUACAAUGGAUAGGACAAUGAGACGCAAUACCGCGAGGUGGAGCAAAUCUAUAAACCUAUUCUCAGUUCGGAUUGUUCUCUGCAACUCGAGAACAUGAAGCUGGAAUCGCUAGUAAUCGUAGAUCAGCAUUGCUACGGUGAAUACGUUCCCGGGUCUU